GGCGUUAGGGUUAGGGUUAGAUUACAAUUUCCAACCUGUUUUAUUUUGUUUUCUUUCUGAGACAGGGUCUCCCUCUGUUGUCCAAGGCUGGAAUGUAGUAGUGCUAUCGCAGCUGACUGCAGCCUCAACCUUCCAGGCUGAAGCGAUCCUCCCACCUCAAACUCCCACGUGGGUGAGACUACAGGUGCUUGACACUAUGCCCAACUAAUAUUUGGAAUUUUCGUAUACGUGGAUUCCAGAGGGGUGACAGCGAAACGUGGGACCAUCCAGUUUCAGGAAAACAAGCUUAACACGCCCACUGAUUCUACAUUAUGCUCGUGCCUCCCGGCAACCUCGCCAGGCCCAGAACUCUCUCCAGUCAGCCUCUACAGACCAAGCUCAUGACUCACAAUGGCCUAUUUAGGCCCAUACCCUACCUCACGGCAGUCUCCGCAGAUGAGCCUACUGCCUCACAACAGCCUCCACAGGCACAGCUCCAUCGUUACAAUGGCCUCUUUAGACCCAGCUCCUGCCUCCCAGCCUUCUCUCCAGGCCCUGAAGUUUCUCCGGCCUCCCUCUGUUGUCCAAGGCUGGAGUGUAGUAGUGCUAUCACAGCUGACUGCAGCCUCAACCUUCCAGGCUGAAGCGAUCCUCCCACCUCAACCUCCCGCGUGGGUGAGACUACAGGUGCUUGACACUAUGCCCAACUAAUAUUUGGAAUUUUCGUAUACGUGGAUUCCAGAGGGAUGACAGCGAAACAUGAGUGGGACCAUCCAGUUUCAGGAAAACAAGCUUAACACGCCCACUGAUUCUACAUUAUGCUCCUACCUCCCGGCAGCCUCUCCAGGCCCAGAACUUUCUCCAGUCAGCCUCUACAGACCAAGCUCAUGACUCACAAUGGCCUAUUUAGGCCCAUACCCUACCUCACGGCAGUCUCCGCAGAUGAGCCUACUGCCUCACAACAGCCUCCACAGGCACAGCUCCAUCGUUACAAUGGCCUCUUUAGACCCAGCUCCUGCCUCCCAGCCUUCUCUCCAGGCCCUGAAGUUUCUCCGUGGGACCAUCCAGUUUCAGGAAAACAAGCUUAACACGCCCACUGAUUCUACAUUAUGCUCCUACCUCCCGGCAGCCUCUCCAGGCCCAGAACUUUCUCCAGUCAGCCUCUACAGACCAAGCUCAUGACUCACAAUGGCCUAUUUAGGCCCAUACCCUACCUCACGGCAGUCUCCGCAGAUGAGCCUACUGCCUCACAACAGCCUCCACAGGCACAGCUCCAUCGUUACAAUGGCCUCUUUAGACCCAGCUCCUGCCUCCCAGCCUUCUCUCCAGGCCCUGAAGUUUCUCCGUGGGACCAUCCAGUUUCAGGAAAACAAGCUUAACACGCCCACUGAUUCUACAUUAUGCUCCUACCUCCCGGCAGCCUCUCCAGGCCCAGAACUUUCUCCAGUCAGCCUCUACAGACCAAGCUCAUGACUCACAAUGGCCUAUUUAGGCCCAUACCCUACCUCACGGCAGUCUCCGCAGAUGAGCCUACUGCCUCACAACAGCCUCCACAGGCACAGCUCCAUCGUUACAAUGGCCUCUUUAGACCCAGCUCCUGCCUCCCAGCCUUCUCUCCAGGCCCUGAAGUUUCUCCGUGGGACCAUCCAGUUUCAGGAAAACAAGCUUAACACGCCCACUGAUUCUACAUUAUGCUCCUACCUCCCGGCAGCCUCUCCAGGCCCAGAACUUUCUCCAGUCAGCCUCUACAGACCAAGCUCAUGACUCACAAUGGCCUAUUUAGGCCCAUACCCUACCUCACGGCAGUCUCCGCAGAUGAGCCUACUGCCUCACAACAGCCUCCACAGGCACAGCUCCAUCGUUACAAUGGCCUCUUUAGACCCAGCUCCUGCCUCCCAGCCUUCUCUCCAGGCCCUGAGCUUUCUCAAGUUGACCUCACCAGGCCCAGCUCAUGCUUCUUUGCAGCCUCUCCAGGCCCAGCUCCUGCAUCUUGGUGGCCCCUCCAGGCCCAGCCUCUGCCUCCCGUCGGCCUCUACAGUCCCAACGUCUGCCUCACAGCAGAUUCUUCAGGCCCAGCAUCUGCCUCACUGUGGACCGCCUAAGCCAAGCUCCUAACCUUUCAGCAGCUUCUACACACCCAGCUGCCACCUGCCAGUGGCCUCUUCAGGCCCAUGGGGCUCAUUCCUCACAACAGCCUUUCCAGGCCCAGUUUUUCCCUUCCGGUGGCCUCUCCGGGCUGAGAACCUCCUCAAGUCAGCCUCUCCAGACCCACUUGCACCCUCCGGGCAUCCUCUCUGGGCCAAGCUCCUCUUCCUGGCUGCGUCUCCAGGCCCGACUCCUGCCUCUCAACAACCUCUUUGGACUCAGUGCCUACCCAUCUCCUGGCGGCCUUGGUCGGCCCACAGCUUCCUCAAGCCAAGCUCCCCAGGCCCAGGUCAGGCCUCACGGUGGCCUCUCCAGGAUGAGCUCCUGCCCUCCGAUGGCACCUACAGGCCCCAAAUGGUCUCCAGUCAGUGGGCUCCUCCACGCCAAGCUUGGGCCUCCCGGCAACCUCUGCAGGCCCAAGUUGUCCUGAAGUUGGCAUCUCCCGGCCCUGCCUCCCAGCAAGUAAGCAAGCUCUUUUGGCUCAACUCCUGCCCAGCUCCCAACCGCCUUUGUGGGCCCUGAACUUUCUCCAGCCAAGUUCUUCGGGCCUAAUUCCUGCCGCCCGGUGGCCUGUACGGGCCCAGCAAUGGUUGGAGAACGGCCUCUGCAGGUCCUGCUCUUGCCUCCCAGGGGCCUCUCCAGGCCCAGCUCUUGACCCCACGGCGGCCUCCCGGGGCCAAGUCCCUGCCUGCCUCCCAGCAGCCCGCGUGCGGCCCAGCUCCUCCCUCACGGUGGCCUGUUGAUGCCCAUGCCUCUGGUACCCUGCCCAGAGGCAUGAUCCCCUGCCACACACUGGCUCCUCCCACGCUGAGAGAGGUCAGCGUGAGCCCUUGCCUCACACCGGCCCCUCCCACGCUGAGAGAGGUCAGUGUGAGCCCCAUGCCUCACACCGGCCCCUCCCACGCUGAGAGAGGUCAGCAUGAGCCCCAUGCCUCACACCGGCCCCUCCGACGCUGAGAGAGGUCAGCGUGAGCCCUUGCCUCACACCGGCCCCUCCCACACUGAGAGAGGUCAGCCUGAGCCCCUUGCCUCACACCUGCCCCUCCCACGCUGACAGAGGUCAGCCUGAGCCCCUUACCUCACACCGGCCCCUCCCACACUGAGAGAGGUCAGCGUGAGCCCCUUGCCUCACACCGGCCCCUCCCACGCUGAGAGAGGUCAGAGUGAGCCCUUGCCUCACACCGGCCCCUCCCACGCUGAGAGAGGUCAGCAUGAGCCCCUUGCCUCACACCGGCCCCUCCCAUGCUGAGAGACGUCAGCGUGAGCCCUUGCCUCACACCGGCCCCUCCCACGCUGAGAGAGGUCAGCGUGAACCCCUUGCCUCACACCAGCCCCUCCCACGCUGAGAGAGGUCAGCGUGAGCCCUUGCCUCACACCGGCCCCUCCCAUGCUGAGAGACGUCAGCGUGAGCCCUUGCCUCACACCGGCCCCUCCC